rnacentral:rRNA from 1 species
UACGUAGGGUGCGAGCGUUAUUCGGAAUUACUGGGCGUAAAGCGUGCGCAGGCGGUCUGUUAAGUCCGAUGUGAAAUCCCCGGGCUUAACCUGGGAACUGCAUUGGUGACUGGCAGGCUUUGAGUGUGGCAGAGGGAGGUAGAAUUCCACGUGUAGCAGUGAAAUGCGUAGAGAUGUGGAGGAAUACCGAUGGCGAAGGCAGCCUCCUGGGCCAACACUGACGCUCAUGCACGAAAGCGUGGGGAGCAAACAGG